rnacentral:rRNA from 1 species
GGAUAUUGGUCAAUGGGCGCAAGCCUGAACCAGCGACGCCGCGUGGGUGAAGAAGGUCUUCGGAUCGUAAAGCCCUUUUCCCACUGAAGAGGAAGGACGGUAGGUGGGGAAGAAGUCUCGGCUAACUACGUGCCAGCAGCCGCGGUAAAACGUAGGAGACAAGCGUUAUCCGGAGUUACUGGGCGUAAAGGGCGUGCAGGUGGCGUCUUAAGUCUGUUGUGAAAGCGCCUGGCUUAACCGGGCGAGGCCAAUGGAGACUGAGAGGCUGGAGUACGGCGGAGGGGUGUGGAAUGCCGGGUGUAGUGGUGAAAUGUGUAGAGAUCCGGAGGAACACCAGAGGCGAAGGCGUCACUCUAAGCCGUACCUGACACUGAGACGCGACAGCACGGGGAGCAAACG